ACAACAAAUAGUUGUUGGACUCGAGUAAGCUAACGUUACGUUAGCUAGCACAAGGACGAGGAGAGAAAACAGCGUCUUUGCAUUCAAGCGCUUCUCGGGGAACGUCAAUAAGCGGCAUGUCUUUGUUUUAAAAUAACAACCAAAAAGGAGAUUAUUGUUCAACAGUUAAAUCAUUUGGGUACGAGGACGAAACAUGCUCCGGACUAUGACGCUUGUUUUUCUCCUUGCCUAGUCGAGGAUUGUGAUGCGAGGUGCUCUGGUGAGACCACGAACGACAUUCGGAAAUUAUUUUUCUUGAACUAGAAUGAUUGACUCAAAAACAAAGCAUUUGGGUUUACCGAAAGGUGCAUAAAACUACACCGGUCUACUUUAGCUAGCUUCAUGCACAUGAAAUAGUAUUUUGCUAACGUAAUGGAGGCACUGUGGGUACAGUUUUAGCUAGCUGGUCACCCAAAAUAUAGCUAUAACGUUAGCUAGCUUCCACAUCCACUUUUAGAGUGUGCUGACCAACAAAAUACAGAAUACUGUAACAUAAAACGGCUAUCCAUGCACUUUAUCGAUAUCUAUCGUGGUUACCUAGCGUUAAGUUAGCUAGCCAAACAAGUAUAAACUAGAUUGAGACUAGCAGCAGAAUACAUUGUUUCUCGGUUAGGAGGAUUUGUCACGGUCGUUUGACACGAGGUGUUGCCUUUAUCUCUUGAUCAUUUCACAACAAUUUACCGUUCCUGGACAUGUGAUAUGGUCAAUUUAUCAAAGGGUUUCUGAAAUUACAAUUUCAGGCUAUAAAUAUCCUGAACUGCAGGCACGCAUCACGUGUCAAACCAGUCAAAUUUGCUUGCUUGAAAGUUGUCAAUAAUGUGCGAAAUUAUCUUUUGAAAUAGUUCUGUGUGUGGGCACAAAUAGCUCUUUUGUCAAUCAAUUACGUUAACACUCAAAAAGCACUUAUAUUGUCAUUGACAAAGUUGUAAACAUUCUUGAUGAAAGCAUUUAUUUUACAAAUUAUGUUAGCUAUUGAAGGAUCAAAGACCAACAUUCAAAGGUUAGACUGACAUCUACUCAAAGGCAUCACUUUAAAUAUCUUGUGUCAAGUACAGAGUUCUCGAAUCCAGUCAAUUGCCAACACUGUCUUCCUGGAAAUGAAAAUAUGAAUGUCGAGGAGCAAGCUCUGGAUUUGUGCAAUGUCAAAAUGAAGAAUAAUGUUGGUGACAAUACUACCAAUAACUCGGAAGAGAUCAUUCCCCGGCUUUCGGAACUGAUGGAUGGAGAUUUGUGUAAACAAGGCAUUGGCAACGAAGCCGCCAACACGUCCUCUCUAGUCAAGCUCACAGACAACCCGCGAAGGGAGGACAACCACCGGUCAAAAGAGACACUAGAAAUCGACGAAGUGAAUGGGAAUAAGAACAACAGCGUCCCAGAUACCUCUGCAAUAGUCAGUUCUGACUUUGACGUUUAUCAUGACGACCAACGCCAAGAUGAGAGUAUCAAGGAUACAACACCAUUGUCCCUCAUGUUUGCUAUUGAGGAAGGGGAUGAUGGUGGGGAUAUGGACAUUGGUGUGGAUUUGAGUCUGGAUGAAAGUGGCAUGUUGGAGUCAGAACCUACAGACCAGGGACCAUCCCUAGCAGAGGAGGCAUCCUCAAGCAGUACCAAUACAGAUUCAUCGACUCCAGACGCUGUCACCGACAAGGAUCCUGAGAAACCCUCAGAACAGGAGGACUCGCCACCUGUCACUGCCCCAGGAGAGGUCAUCUCUCCAGCCCUGGAUGAGGGGGAUGAUAAACACAAAAAUGGCAAGAGGGUGACUUUUCCUUCAGAUGAGGAUAUUGUCUCUGGAGCAGUGGAGCCCAAGGACCCUUGGAGACAUGCCCAGAAUGUGACAGUGGAUGAGAUUCUCUCUGCCUACAGACAGGCCUGCGUGAAACUCAACUGUAAACCCAUCCCCAAAGUGCUUAAACAGAUGCAGGAGCUGAAAGACCUAACUCAUCGAAAUGAAUGCUUGGACCUUAAAGGUGAGAAGCUGGACUAUAAGGCGUGUGAGUCCUUGGAGGAGGUGUUCAAGCGGGUCCAGUUUAAAGUGGUGGACCUGGAGCAGACCAGCCUGGAUGAAGAUGGUGCGUCCGCUCUCUUUGACAUGAUUGAGUACUAUGAGUCGGCCACACACCUCAACAUUUCCUUCAACAAGCACAUCGGCACCCGCGGCUGGCAGGCCGCAGCCCACAUGAUGAGAAAGACGAGCUCUCUGCAGUACCUGGACGCCCGCAACACACCCCUGCUGGAUCACUCUGCCCCGUUUGUGGCACGGGCGCUCCGCAUCAGCGGCAGUCUUGCUGUGCUGCACCUAGAGAACGCUGGGCUCUCUGGACGACCACUGAUGCUGCUGGCCACGGCUCUGAAGAUGAACAUGAACCUACGGGAGCUGUACUUGGCUGAUAACAAGCUGAACGGCCUGCAGGACUCUGCACAGCUGGGCAACCUGCUCAAGUUCAACUGCAACAUCCAGAUACUGGACCUCCGCAACAACCACAUACUGGACUCUGGUCUGGCCUAUGUCUGUGAAGGCCUGAAGGAACAGAGGAAAGGCCUGGUCACUCUGGUGCUCUGGAACAACCAGCUAACACACAACGGCAUGGGCUACCUCGCAGCUGCACUGCCCUGUACCCAGAGUUUGGAGACCCUAAAUCUGGGCCAUAACUCUGUGGGGAACGAGGGGGUCCACAAGCUGAAGGACAGUCUGAUCGCCAACCGCUCGGUGCUCCGGCUGGGCCUGGCGUCCACCAAGCUGUCUUGCGAGGGUGCCGUGGCGGUGGCUGAGUUCAUCGCCGAGAGCCCCCGGCUGCUGCGUCUGGACUUGAGGGAGAAUGAGAUCAAGACGGGGGGCCUCAUGGCCCUCUCCCUGGCCCUCAAAGUCAACACCUCCCUCCUACGCCUCGACCUGGACCGAGAGCCCAAGAAAGAGACUGUGAAGAGCUUCAUCGAUACGCAGCGUUCCCUGCUGGCUGAGAUCCAGAAUGGCUGCAAGCGGAACUUCAUCCUAGCCAAGGAGAAGGAGGAGACCGAGCAGCAGAUGCAUUCGGCCUCCAUGGCCGAGAUCGCCACCGAGGACAGAACCAUAGAGGAGGACGGAGCUGAUUCCGGCGAGCUUGUUGAUAACGAUGGGAAAGACAGUGAGUGUGAGGGAGGAGAGGAAGGAGUGAAAGACACUGAGCGCCUGACUGAAAGCCAAUUAGCAGUGAGCUCUGAGGGAGUGGUGUUGCCUUUGCAUUUGGAGUCCGACUCGGACACGGACGAAGAAGAGGAUGAAGAGGUGGUUCUCUCUAAAGCUCCCUCCGUCUCCCCCGCCCCCAAACACACUGGUCCUUCACUCCGGGCGGCGACAACUCAGCACCCCCUCAAUGCCUCACAGACACCCCCCGUCCCCUCUGCCUCACCUGCUACGGGGUCUGUCAUUUCAGGGAUCACCGUCACAGAGUCCACGGGGGCCCCCGGUACACCCCCCUCGCCGGGCCGCUGUAUCUCUGUGUCGAGCCCCGGGAGGGGCCACAAGAUCUUCAUGGUGACCAGAGUAGAGAGCCCAUCUGACCAACAGCAGUUCCAGGUCCUGGGGAAGAUUGGCCUGACCAAGCCCCAGGUCUCCAAAGAGUCGGUGGUGUCACUAGUGAAGGAAACCACACAGCAACCACAUCCUGGUUCACAACCCCCACAGGAGGAGGUGAGAACACAACCCCAGGCCGCGCCCACACCACUGACACAGGAGCUGGUCCAGAGUUCAGACGACCCACAGACAGUCAACCCUAAACCGAUGGAGCGGAGUCCUGUUGCGCCAGAGCAACCCCCUUCAGAGGAGACAGUAGUAGAGACUCCUAAUGACCCGUUAACAGCAGCCCAGACAUCACACUCACCCUCCCUUCCUACAGAAAUAGCAGCAGCAACACUAGCAUCACCCCAACAGACAGAGCAGAUGGUAGAGACAACUACAGAGCCCCGGCUAGAACAGUCUGCUGUUGAGCAGCAGUCCACUGAAGCUGCGCUGGAAGAGGAAGAGGAGGGGGAGGGGGAGGAGGUGGUUGUGGAAAAGGAGGAGAGUCAGAACCCAGUAGAAGAGAUACUUUGUGAACAGGCGGAGUCUCAAACCGACACAGAGGAAGAAGAUGACAUGCAGUCAGAACGGCUUCCACAGCAGGACCAGAGUCCAGAACAGGCUCGUGACACAGUUCAGCAACCGUUAGCGCCGCAACCGUUAGCACCUCAGCUAGCUACACAGACUAACACGAAGCCCCUGGGGAGUCUGCUUCUAACAGCACCGCUCCAGUCACAGCCUGAAACAGUGCAGCCAGACUCUGAGCUUCUGCCCCCACAACAGGAACCGGCAGAGACACUUCCACGGGCACAGCGACAGGUGGCGCCAGAGAGUCCGCCGGAGCAGGGAGCAACGGAGAGUGUAGCAGAAGCAGAAACUGAACAAGAACUGUAUCUGUGGGAGGAACAGCAGCAACUAGCACAACAGGCACUUCCUGUGCAGGUGGAACUGCAACAACAACAUCCUGUUCUAGAGGAACUACAGAAGCGGCAGCUUCAACCAGAGGAGCAAUCACAGACCACUCUUCCCGCUGAGCCCUCACCUGUUCCAGCCGACACAGACACUUCCCUGGAGGUGGAGGGCCGUAGCUCCCCUCCCAAGGCAGAGGAGUCUCCAGACGAGAGCUCCACGGACGAGGUGGAGGAGGUGGUGGGCUCGGCCCUUCCCAAUGGCCUGAAGCCAGAGUUCGCCCUUCACCUGCUGGACCCCGAGGGCCCCAAGCCUGGGCCUGGCAGCUGUGUGAUGGAGCACGUGAGUGUCACAGCAGAGCUGAGCUGUGGUCAGGACCUGGAGGAGCUGUUGCUGGAGGCCAGCCUGGAGACUGGGAGAGACGCACCAUAGCUGUGUCAUGGUACACCUACACUUAUUCAAUCUCCUGGAUCUCUUUACAAUUGGUUCUUUAGGAGAGAGGAACACAGGACUCGUCUCUGUCUCGGUGAAUCGGCUUGUUGCUCCUCCGAUUUUGUUGUCGUUACCACGAACUCCUCACCACCCCCUCUCUAUGAAAACAGAGGACCAGUUGUCAUCUAAGUAAAAAGAAAAAAAGACCCAAAACAAUAAUCAUUGAGCUUCGUCACAGCAUAUAAGGAAUUCACUUCAACUGAAACGCGCGCACACUGUAUUGUAAAGAAAGUUUAACAAAAUAAACAAGAAUGGACACUAAGAAAAUCACACUAACCUUUUGCCUGUCACUACAUUCCGUCAAUCAGGAAACCACGCUCAUGCUGGGGGGGGGGGGGGAAAGAGAGGGACGGAGGGGGUUUAUCACUGCGCUAACCAAAGACACAGGACACACUCUGCUCACCCCCAGCUCCACCCCAACGUGUGUUCUUCAUAGUGUCGUGGGUUUGCACACUGACACAAAACCAUACUAUUGCCCUCUGCUGGACGAAAGAGUGUGCACAGCUGUGUGGGACUCAGACAAGAGGACCCACUGGCUUUGUGUGUCAUUCUCUGACAAUGACAGUGGGGCACAGAUGGUUUUAUAACCAAGGAAUGUGUGUGUUACAGUUUUACCUGCCCCCCACCACCACCUCGUAAGGGAUCUCUGCCAAAGUGAUCACUUUCUUUUCUGUUCCUUCCCCUCCGUUGGCUUUGGCCCCCUCAGGAAUCGUCCCCUCCAGUGUCUCUCCAGCAACGCCCUGGGAACACCCAAACCAUCUGUCAUCUGCCAAAAGCACACGGUCUCAGUCACAAAUUAUGUUGGGUUUCCUUUAAGAAUCAGAUAGCGGAGUUACUCCAAUCUAAAGCUUUCUGGAAACCUCUGUAAAUGUUGGAAAACAAAAUGUCUGCCUUGACGGAGUAAUGCCGUUCAUUACGGAGGAAGUCUACCCUUUUUUCUUUUUUUUUCUCUCUCGACUGGACAGUUAUCAGACGUUCUUUUCCAGAUGGAUAUUUUUUUUUGGGUCUCCGACCAGAGUGAUUUAAAUGUAGUGUGACACUCAAUAGGAGUAUAAAUAAAAAGCAGGUCUGACCGUCUCUCUCCUUCCAAGUUCUCCCUCUUUCUUUGUAUUUUGCAGGUACAACACUGUGCCAUCUCAUUUCCCAACUCAACACAGGAUAAAUGUUGCCUUUGACUCGACUAGGUUUAAUUCCAUCUCUUUUUGUUUUGCUGCUUGGAGAAAUCAGUCGUUUUGUAUUUAUUUUAUAGUUGUAUGAGCCUUUUCUUCGUGUGAUUUAUUUUUCUCUCCUUCUCUUCCUCAUUUUAUUAGUUAUUUUCCGUGGGGUUUGCUUCUAAAGAUUUCCCCAUUUUGGUGUAUAUUUCAGAUUCAAAUUAGAGCAAUUAUUAUGUUUCGGUUUUUGGGGGGGAGGGGGGGGGGGGUAGAUAAGUGUAUGCUGGGUGGCAGUAUCAACGGAUAUGGCAAUAAGGAGGUGGGGAGAGUGCAGUUAUGAAAAUGAACGUUUUCCUAAGGAGGAGCUACGUGAGGGAUGGUUUACUGAGAGACUUCCUGUGCUGACUGAGAGGCUUCCUGUGUUGAAACUUGACAUCUUAAACACCACUGUGCUAAGGCCACCUGGGAGCGCUGGGGAUAUUGGUGUUUUCCUUGUAGGCCAGGAGGACAUUGAUAUGAACACAAACAGGUGGGUAAAAGUUUUGAGUGAACACAGGGGUACCUCUGUCUUAUACCAUCUUGGGACAUAUGUGAGCCUGAAUGCCCACCACUGUGAACCUAUGGGCCAGGUACCAACGGCCCUAUUCAACCGGUAUCUAGAAGGUUCCAGGGUAAGGCAAAAAAAGGUGCUUUCUUACAGUGCAAGAAGAAGACAGGUUUGUCUCAGCUGCGGGAUCCUCUGUAUAUAGGUUUUGGUUGAAUAGAGCCCCUUGUCUCAAUCCCACGGUUCUGUCUCCCCUGGUCAACCAGGUUGUUUCUCAGCCCGGGUAAUCAUGUCUGUGCUGCCUCCCCUGGUCAACCAGGUUGUUUCUCAGCCUGGGUAAUCAUGUCUGUGCUGCCUCCCCUGGUCAACCAGGUUGUUUCUCAGCCCGGGUAAUCAUGUCUGUGCUGCCUCCCCUGGUCAACCAGGUUGUUUCUCAGCACGGGUAAUCAUGUCUGUGCUGCCUCCCCUGGUCAACCAGGUUGUUUCUCAGCCCGGGUAAUCAUGUCUGUGCUGCCUCCCCUGGUCAACCAGGUUGUUUCUCAGCCCGGGUAAUCAUGUCUGUGCUGCCUCCCCUAGUCAACCAGGUUGUUUCUCAGCCCGGGUAAUCAUGUCUGUGCUGCCUCCCCUGGUCAACCAGGUUGUUAAUCAGCACGGGUAAUCAUGUCUGUGCUGCCUCCCCUGGUCAACCAGGUUGUUUCUCAGCCCGGGUAAUCAUGUCUGUGCUGCCUCCCCUGGUCAACCAGGUUGUUUCUCAGCACGGGUAAUCAUGUCUGUGCUGCCUCCCCUAGUCAACCAGGUUGUUUCUCAGCACGGGUAAUCAUGUCUGUGCUGCCUCCCCUGCUGUUUGUAAUGCUUUCAUUUUUAGUCAUUUUUAAUUAUUUGUUAAAUUAAUCGAAAUGUGCUGGUAAUCACAUAUGUAUGGCAAAUCACUUGUUCCUCUCUCAAAUAAAUGCAUGUACUGACUAAUGAAGUGACGGAGUGUUUCACUGGAAAUACUCUCUUUGGGAACUGCAUUGGAUGUUCUGCGUGGAAAUGAUUUGGAAUUUUCGGAAAAUAUUUAAUUUGACGGACCAUCAUAUUUAGGACAAAGUACUGUAGGUCUGAAAGUCUAUCUUGCACUGCUAUUCUGCUGGUUAGUACCAUCCCAUCAACAAGCACGUUAAAUGCUGCUAGUGUUUCCAUGUUUCUCUUUUUCUUUUUGUAUGUUUAAGCAAAUUAGCCAAUGGCCAUAUUCCAGUUAUUCAGAUGUAGAGAAGAAUAAUUUAUUGGUCAAGGUGACAUGGACCUAAAAUGGCUUUCUAUACGAGGAAGGAAAUGGUAUGGCUUUAACUGACAAUGUCACAGCACAUCAGUUUUAGAAUUUUUUUUUUUUUUUAAGGUCUUUGUAGGCCUUUGGUAGUGUUUCAUAAGCCUGCUGGUAGUGUUUCAUAAGCCUGCUGGUAGUGUUUCAUAAGCCUGCUCCAAGAGUGUUCUAACCCACAUUUUAACAAGUUCUGGAGCUUUGAGACAUUAGAACCAGACUAGAGAGAGGAAGGAAGGCAGGGAUGGAUGGAGUGAGAGACUGCCUAUGCAAAAUGACUAUCACCUUUGUUGGUAUCAGGUUGGUGUGAUGAUCUCUGGUGCGUCAGAGAUAUGGAAUAAGAAUACUGUGUAUCUCAAUGGGUGUUGUCCUGUCGUCUUUCGUUCGGAUGGGAUGUGACCUGGUCUGAGUUGUAUUAGGCAAGGUGAUACUGCUUUGUAUUGAAGGAAUUAAGAGGCUUAAUGUAAGAGGGUACCAUGUUACCUGUCCCGAGAUCUAAAAGACAAAAGUAGUAAUCCACUUCACACAGAAUCCACGGGACACAAUGUGGAACUACAAAUAACAGUAGUGGAAUUCUGAUUUGCAUACCAGGUCCAAGGCCCAGUACAAGAGCUGACCGAUAGCUUGGCCAGACUAGUGACCCCUCUUUCAAGAGAGGUAUUGAGAGAACAGGAUCUGUUUGAUGCUUGCCAUUGUUUUAUCGAAUUUCAAUGUAUUCUAUGGAUUUCUAUCAUUUUCUCAUUUUUUUUGCCAAUAGGACAUGUGUACUGAUAUAGAGAUGGUUCUUUAAAAAAAAACAUUUAGACCACUCGGAUCAGCGAUCGUGUCCUACUAUGACAUGGCAUACUUGAAGUAUGAAGUGGCAUCUUGGCCAAGCAUUCAGUACAAUUCUGGUAUGGAUGUUGUUAUUCCCUACUAUGUUAAAACUCAAAAAGGUCUGUCUUUUCUUCUGAUUUCUUGGGAUGGCAUGGCUCAAUCUGAACUUUCCAAAAAUGUGACCAAACUUUAAGAUGGGACGUUGAGGGGUGAGGCGGUUCACCGCCACCCUCAGAGACAGGCUCAUGGGGCGUGGGGGAUUGUGUGUGGGGGUGGGGGGGGUAAUUCUGUUUUUUUUUUCAUUACUAAUCUGGUUCUGAAGGAAUUCCAGCCAAUACUAAUCCAACCCCCCCCCCCCCCCCCCCCCCCCCCCCCCCAGCUGCUUAUAUGAAGAAAGAUCAUGAGAAAGAGGAGAGGAGAGGGGGCUAGAGAAAGCCUUAAACAUAAACUUCAUAAGCGAAACUCAGCAUCUCCAAAGCUCCCUGAAUUACAGAGGGUAAAAAUACAUUUAAGGACCAUUCUCUUUCUGUACAGUAGACACGCGUGAUCUGGAUUGGAUAGAGAGACUAAGGGCAGGACCGACUGGAAUAAAUUUAACUCAACACCCAUGCGAACAUUAACAUGUAAUAGCUCUUUUUCCUUCAUGUUUCGUCCCUUCCCUACUGUAUCUAUGCAAGUGUUUAUUUUGUUCUACUUUUCCCCAGCCCAAACUGCCACCCAUGAAAAGGCUUAAAUCCACAAGGAAAGCAACACUGAAAACUAAUUAAAAGUGACCUUCAGUUCUAAGUCUGCUUUUCUCAGCCUCCCCGUUCACCUUUUCAUUUCAGUAAAGUUAGAAGUAGUGCAGUGGGUUUCUGCUCUCAGUACACCUCACCUGAAAUACAUUAGUGUUGUCUUUAGAGUACAGGCAGACUAUGAGGUAGAAUCAUAUAAGCAAUGAUAUUGUGCAAUAUUGUGACCUGUGGUGUUUUUGUAGAUUCACCUACAUCUCAUAAUGUGUUCUUCUAAACUAUCUAUGAAGGUACAAUGUCAUGUUUUUGUUUAUUUGGGUUCAAGUUUUACUGCAUUUAUGGAUUUUGUGUAUAAUCUUGGUUGAAAUAAAGGGUUUCCUAAUUUC